rnacentral:tRNA from 1 species
AAAUAAGAAGCUAAAAGCAUUUAGUUUCGACCUAAAAAUUUGAAAAUUAUUUUCCUUAUUUA